UAUUGUAUUUUCAUUACUGUCGGUUCUGAACGGUAAUUCUUGAAACAAUCAAGAAUUUGUAUUUGCUUGUCACUUGUAAUUGAAAUUAUUUUUAAAUUUUCAGUAAAAAAAUGGAGGAAUAUUGGGAUGAUGGUGAAGAAUUUUUGCCUGUACAACCUGUAAUUUCCAGGAAUGAACAGCCGCAUGCAAGAUCGAAUGAUGCACCUCGAGGAAGAAGUUAUAAUUCCAAUUCAUAUAAUAAGGAAUAUUCCGCCAAUGGUGCCGGUGGUAACUUUAGAGAAGACAGGCCUAGGAACAGUGAAAAUGAUUUUUCUAAUAGAGGAAGAAGAACAUUUUCACGAGGCGGUCGUAACGAGAGAAAUUGGCGACCAAAUGAAGAAUCAUCGCGAGGUGGUCGUAACGAGAGAAAUUGGCGAUCAAAGGAAGAAACCUCGCGUGGUGGUCGGAACGAGAGAAAUUGGAGAUCAAAUGAAGAAUCUUCUGAAAUUCAGAUUGAUUCAAAUUUUGUAGGAAGAGUCAUUGGUCGUGGUGGCUCAAAAAUACAAGAAUUACAAACAGAAAGCGGCGCGCAUAUUAAAAUCCUUCAAGAUAGCGAUGUAGAGGGAUCUACAUCAGUUCGUCUUACAGGAUCUCCAGAAGCACGCGAAAAGGCUAAAACUAUGAUAGAAGAAUUAACUACGGAUUUUGGAAGGAUGUCAACAAAUAGAAACUUCCAUAAUCCUAAUAAUUCUGAAAAUACAUCAUCUUUUACCAAUGAAGUUAAAGCAGAUGGAAUCAACACAUUUAUUGAUUGGGAUGAGCUGAAUAAAAAGUAUCAUGAAGAAAAAGAGAAGCAACUUGCAGCACUUCCAAAAUUAAUAAAGAAUUUUUACAAAGAAGAUCCAGUUGUAGCAGCUAUGACUAAACAAGAAGUAAAUCAAUUUAGAGCUGAAAAUAACAACAUAACUGUGAUGAAUGUAGAUACUGAUGAUAAUAAACCUAUUCCUAAUCCUGUUACUACAUUUGAGCAAGCCUUCCAGCAUUAUCCUGAAUUAUUGGAAGAACUGAAAAAACAAGAUUUUUCAAAACCAUCUCCAAUUCAGAGUCAGGCUUGGCCAAUUAUCAUGAGUGGUUAUGAUCUGAUUGGUAUUGCCCAAACUGGUACUGGAAAGACUAUAGCCUUUUUAUUUCCGGCACUCAUCCAUAUUGUUGGACAAAUUACCCCCCGAGAAGAACGUGUUGGACCAAGCUGCGUUAUUUUAGCUCCAACACGAGAGUUAGCUCAACAAAUUGAAGUUGAAGCUAGAAAAUACUCCUAUUGCAAUAUUACAAGUGUAUGCAUUUAUGGAGGUGGCAGCAGAAGGGACCAAAUUAAUGUUGUAACCAAAGGUGUGGAUAUUGUCAUAGCAACUCCAGGAAGAUUGAAUGAUCUUGUUAUGAACAAAAUCAUAAAUGUUUCUGGUGUAACAUAUCUUGUUUUGGAUGAAGCGGAUCGUAUGUUAGAUUUGGGUUUUGAACCUCAGAUUCGUAAAAUUGUACUUGAUAUCCGUCCGGAUCGACAAACCAUAAUGACCAGUGCUACUUGGACCAAUGAAAUUCAAAAAUUAGCUGCUAGAUACAUGAAGAAACCAAUUAAAGUAAAUGUUGGUGCUCUUGAUUUAGCUGCUGUUCACUCAGUUACUCAACAAGUGAUAUUUGCUGAAGAUGAGGACAGACGAGCAAUAUUAGAAGAAUUUUUGGCUUCUAUGAAAGAUGACGAAAAAGUCAUUGUGUUUGUUGAGCGAAAAAGUGUUGCAGAUGAUAUAUCAAGUGAUUUAAUAUUGCGAGGAGUCGAACUUCAAUCAAUUCAUGGAGACAGAGAACAAAUAGAUCGAGAACAAGCCCUCAAUGAUAUAAAAACUGGAUAUGUUAAAAUUUUGAUUGCUACUGAUGUAGCUUCCAGGGGGCUUGAUGUUAAAGAUAUAACACAUGUAUUUAAUAUGUAUUUUCCACAUAAUAUUGAAGAGUAUGUUCAUCGUGUAGGUCGAACUGGCCGUGCUGGCCGAACUGGAACUGCAAUAUCCAUAUUUACUCGACAAGAUUGGAUGCAUGCUGAGAGCUUCAUAAAAAUCCUUGAAGAGGCUGACCAAUUUGUCCCUAAAGAAUUGUAUGAUAUGGCUGAUCGUUACCGAGCUUGGAAACGUAAAAAAGAAGCAGAAGAUGCUGAAGGUGGUUUUAGACGUAGAGGACGUGGUGGUGGCCGUAGGCGUUUUUGAUCUAUUUCCCUGUUAAAUUCUGCUAACAUAGAAGAAUGUAUAUAGUCUCUUUUGUAUGGAUAUCUGCUUAGUUAGUCUGGCAUUGAAUGUACAGUUGUUCAUCAGUAUUGCUAAUUGGGAAGCAAUUCAUUCUUGACAAUCAUUGGUUAUUUUCUCAUAUUAGGUGAGUUAAAUGUAUGUGUUUGUGUGUGUGCUUACGUUUUCAUUUCCUUUGUUUAUUCAUAAAUUUUUAAUGUGCUUAUCAAAUUAGACUAUUUUUUUACUUAU